UAACGAUCAUGUCUGAGUCCAGGUAGCCAGCGUUGUUCAUUGCUUCAUAGGCCUGACCAGCUGUCAUGGCCCCAUCACCUAUCACAGCCACCACGUUGUUUUUCCUUCCUUUCAGAUCCCUCCCCACAGCCAUUCCUGGUCAGUUUGGAAGGGUCAUACCUAAUCCCGCAGAUAUAGUUGUAGAACUGUGACCGGCCCCAAAACAGUCGUAGUCACUCUCAGACCGCUUCGUGAAACCAGAGAGACCACCGGUCUGCCUUAAACUCGGCAUCUUGUCUCUUCUUCCGGUCAGAAUCUUGUGUGGAUAAGCCUAUAUCAUGCAGAAUCAGAUCCCAUCAGAACUAUGUUAAGAAUAUUAGUAUUCUGGCCCACAUCGGUGAUGUGACAUAGCCUAGCUUAGUCUCUUGUACUAUAUAUAUGUGGCAUGUGUUGAGUAAUAAAAUACACCAAAUACACUACUACUUUCUC